rnacentral:misc_RNA from 1 species
GAUGAAGAACGCAGCGAAAUGCGAUACUUGGUGUGAAUUGCAGAAUCCCGUGAACCAUCGAGUCUUUGAACGCAAGUUGCGCCUCAAGCCAUUAGGUUGAGGGCACGUCUGCCUGGGCGUCAAAUAUCGUUGCCUGAUGCCAGUUUCCUCGUGAUGGGUGACUGUGCAGGGCGAAUGAUGGCUUCCCGUGAGCAUUGUUGCCUCAUGGUUGGUUGAAAAUUGAGUCCUUGGUAGGGAGCGCCGUGAUAGAUGGUGGUUGAGUGACGAACGAGACCCAAUCAUGUGAGACCCCUACCGAAUUUGGCCUUCAUGACCCACAUGCGUCUUUGGAACGCUCAUGACGAGACCUCAGGUCAGGCGGGGCUACCCGCUGAGUUUAAGCAUAUCAAUAAGCGGAGGA